rnacentral:tRNA from 1 species
GGGCCACUGGUGAAAAAUCACACUGCCUUGUCAAGGCAGAAUUGUGGGUUAAAACCCCGCGUAGCCCU